GAUGAACGCUAGCGGCAGGCCUAACACAUGCAAGUCGAGGGGUAACAUUUGUGCUUGCACAAGAUGACGACCGGCGCACGGGUGCGGAACGCGUAUGGAACCUGCCCCUGUCAGGGGAAUAGCCCAGAGAAAUUUGGAUUAAUGCCCCAUGGUAACGUGAUAUCGCAUGAUAUUGUGUUUAAAGAUUUAUCGGACAGGGAUGGCCAUGCGUACCAUUAGUCAGAUGGUGAGGUAACGGCUCACCAUAACUACGAUGGUUAGGGGCCCUGAGAGGGGGAUCCCCCACACUGGUACUGAGACACGGACCAGACUCCUACGGGAGGCAGCAGUGAGGAAUAUUGGACAAUGGAGGAGACUCUGAUCCAGCCAUGCCGCGUGCAGGAUGACUGCCCUAUGGGUUGUAAACUGCUUUUAUACGGGAAGAAACGCACCUACGUGUAGGUGUCUGACGGUACCGUAAGAAUAAGGACCGGCUAACUCCG
rnacentral:rRNA from 1 species